GAUGAAGAACGUAGCGAAAUGCGCUACGUAAUGUGAAUUGCAAAUUCAGUGAAUCAUCGAGUCUUUGAACGCACAUUGCGCCCCCUGGUAUUCCGGGGGGCAUGCCUGUCCGAGCGUCAUUGCUGCCCUCAAGCACGGCUUGUGUGUUGGGCCCCGUCCUCCGAUCCCGGGGGACGGGCCCGAAAGGCAGCGGCGGCACCGCGUCCGGUCCUCGAGCGUAUGGGGCUUUGUCACCCGCUCUGUAGGCCCGGCCGGCGCUUGCCGAUCAACCCAAAUUUUUAUCCAGGUUGACCUCGGAUCAGGUAGGGAUACCCGCUGAACUUAAGCAUAUCAAUAAGCGGAGGA
rnacentral:misc_RNA from 1 species